GUUUAGCUGAAGCACCCCUCCUUUCUCUCCAGGUCCAUAUUCAAGCCUUUCAUCUUUGUUGAUGAUGUAAAACUUGUCCCCAAAGCACAGUCUCCUUGUUUUGGGGACAACGACCCUGCCAAAAAGGAGCCUCGGUUCCUGGAGAAGCCAGACCGCCGGCAUGAGCUGUACAAGGCCCACGAGUGGGCACGUGCUGUCAUUGAAAGCGACCAGGAGCAAGGUCGCCAGCUGAGAAAGACCAUGCUGGAACUAGAGAAGCAAGGCCUGGAGGCCAUGGAAGAAAUCCUGACCAGCUCUGACCCCCUGGACCCCACCGAAGUGGGGGAUCUUUUCUAUGACUGUGUUGACACGGAGAUUAAGUUCUUUAAGUGAAGUAAGCAUUCCCUUUCCCCUUCUUAUUUAAACGUUCCCACCUUACUAAAUUACCAGCAAAACAAGCCACUCUCCUGUGUGAGUAAAAUGAGAAAGUUCCGAUGUGUUAAAGUCACACUCUUGUGUUCUGCCUUGAAGCUCAACAACAACCCCUUCUCCUACCACGUAGCUUCCCUUCUUUUGCAAUGUAACGCGUCUCCAUUUGCCUGUCGUUCGAUUGUAUGACUAAUUGUGGAUUUUCAGCUGCUCUCAUUGCAUCUCAGUGACUGUGGACACAUUAGCCUUCUCACGGAGAGCAAGGGUUCAUCAGGCCUUGGAAGGGGGCUCCACAGUGCUAAGUGUGCAGGAAAAGCAACAUCUUUUGGUCUUAUGCUUUCUUUCAGUACUGGUUUCUUCCGGGUUAACCAAAGGGCCAGGGCUCUGUGUGUGUACUUGAGGGAGAAGCUUCCAGGCCUCCCUUCACAUGGGUGCAUGCCUGUCAUGCAGAGUUCUCCAGAUGUGUCUGCUGAGGGACACAGCCAAUGGGGAGGAACAAAGGGGGCCCCUCUGUGGUCCCAGCUCAUCCUGAUCCCCGUGAUCCCAAAGAGCCUGUCUUCUCUACCCUGCGCCUCGUGUGCGGGGGACCCACAGACGGCCCCUGCGCAGGAGAGCUGGUUAGGGGAGUCAGCUGGAGGCGCCCACGGUAGAGACUCGGAGGCAGCCACACCGGGGCCUCCCUGAUUCACCGCACGGCCCUCCCCAGAGGCCUGCGGCUCUCCCUGCACACGCCCCCCCCCUUGGAUGUGGCUCCGUGUAGAAACGAUUUCGGGCUUGGUGAUGACCAUCUACGUCAGGAUGAAUUAAAUGGCUCCGUGGCACAGUUCCACCCCACGGGGCUGCGAAUUUCCCCAGCUAGCGAGGGAAAGAAAAGGAGAAACUCCUGACUGUUUAGAUUUCAGUUAAAGUAGCUGGAAUCUGAGCAGCGACUACGUGAUCUCAGCAGAGACUUUAAUUUAACUGAUUUGUUUCCAACGUCGUGUUCACACGGAGGAUCUCACUUACCACCAGAGCAUAGACGGGCGUGUGAGGACCAGAUGGGCUCAGCAUUGGGAAGACAGAGGGCAAGGAGGUGACAGAUGGAUGCAGAAGCAUUUCGCUGCAGGGUGGCGAUCCAACCCCAGCCUUCCUGCCCAGCUUGUUCAAUCCCACAAAGCUGCGUAGGAUGCAGCUGGCUCUCCCCGCCCUUCCCUUUAUUCCCAGUAGCUGCUCUUGGAAUGAAGGUAGCUGCAGGGGGCAGGUGUAGGGGGGGCUUCGCCCCAGCCACGGAAACUCUCAAGCACUGUGAAAUGCUCCGGGGGCGGAGAUGAUGAAUAGACGCGUAAGCAGGUGUGGCCGCUGGUGGAAGGACGGCCCUUUCCUUACUCCGGCCUCACCCGUACCCAGUUGGGCCCAAUCAUGCUUCGUCACUGGUAGGAAUUUGCAAGUGGAAAGAUUGUGAGCGUCAGUAAUCUCUGAAGUGACCUAGGGUCAGUGACUCUGCGCCGAGAGCGGUGCGCGACAGGCCAGGCGGGCCGGAAGGGACGGGGUCCCACACACGGAUGUGGGCACGGAGGGCCACGGGGCUUAUCCGAACACAUCUUGCUCUACCGACCUCCCUUGAAGGGUGUGGGUAUCAGAGCGCCACGAGCUUUUGGGCCAGCAGUUUUGUGAAUUCUGUCUGUGAAAGCAUGAACGGUGAGCGCUAGCAGAUGGGAAGGAUGUUUGGGCCGACAGAGUUACCACAGCCGUUGGUGGUGACUUGUAGUUGCUGAGUCUCAUCCAGGGCUUUCCCUGUUGAUGAACGCAGGCUCUCCUCUUAGAGGGAGCGGCCAUCCCUAGAGCAUCAGUUUACAGAUGCUAAGCUCGGGGGGUUCGUAACACAGGUACUUCGCCGCUCCUCAGUCCACCUGCUCAGUGGUUAUUUAAGACAAGGUGAUGUGGAAAGCCACCCUAAAAUUUCACCACGUGGUUUCACCUCCACCUGUUACAGAAACAUUUCAUCAGACCUGACACGUCUGAGGUACCAAGGUGAUUCGGGGUUUUACCAAAAGAAGUCUAGUGAGACUAAAUUACACAGAGGCCUGCUUUCAUUGUUAUGGGCCAAACAAAGGUCAUGGAUCACCCAUCCAGCCUACGCCGUUCCCUAGCCACUGUGAAGUGGGAAAUACAAUGGCUGCUUCCGUUAGGGGACAUUUGUCCAGCAUCUCAAAGAAGGGUCAACCCUAAAUGAGAAUUGUCUUAGCUAACACUGUACGUCACGAUUGUGAUGCCCCUGUCUUACCACCAGGGGGCGUGGCAGCCCUCCGUGGCACAGCCUGGCAGAAGUUAAAUGGGGCUGGGAUGCUUCCAUCCGGCUCGGACGGGGUCUGUGUACAGUCAAACCCCCAAUAAUAGCAGUGGACGAAUUCUUUGUGCCUUGGGGGUUGUAGGGAAAGACAAGAAGAGAGUAAGGAACCUGCUGAUGCGGCUGGACUCACUUCUAGUGACUUUUAUCUACUGAGGUCAACUGCUUAAAAUAUGUUGUUGGAUUUUGAGCAGGCUGUUGGCGAGAUGUUUCUUUUUAAAUGCUCCUAACAGACUCUGCUUUUGAAAAAUGCUUAUCAUUACGUGGAUGAUUUCUUUACCAGGGAUUGCUUUUCUAAAGACAGUGUGGGGAAAUGAAUAUUCAAGAUGAACUAUGAAAGCAAUGUUUAAAGGUCAGUGUGUAAAUAAGCUUCCCGAAAUACCAUUGGAAUAUCCAUUAAGACUUGGAUGGGGGAGCUGUGCAUGCUUUGUGCAGAAAGAAGACAUGGCCAGGAUAGAAUUUCUCCCCUAUUUCCAUGCCCCAUAACCGAACAUAAGCUACUUAGUCUUGUCUAGUAGAUGGGAUUUACCAUAGAUGAAGACAGCCCUCAUCCCCUAAAGGUGAAAGAGGCUGCAAUAAAAGUAAAUUAGCAAAGCAGAGUAGUGCUCUUCAUUCUUGGAGGUUGGUUUGGAAUUCUAGGUAGAAUUCUAGGUAGAAUAAGGAUAUACUUGAAAUUAUGGUGAUUCUUUAGGGCCCAGUAACAUAAGACCCAGUGUUAUUAUUCGGAAGCGUCUUUCUUACAAGCUAACAGAGCAGGUGUAUGCCUAUUAGAUAUUAGCAGUGAAGUUCCUUCACUACUGGGUGAAUGGUUAGGUAUAAAAAAUAAUUACCAACCAGGCAAACCACCUUGCUCACUAACUUACAUCGUCCCACCUUAGUGCAGGUGUUACACCGCUCUGGCUGGCCCAGCAGGGAAGCCAGGUGGGACCAAUGUGUCUGCUAGGGAACCAUGAACUGCAUUCUUGCCUAAAGAACAGUUAAGUCAUUUGUAGGGGAGGUGUUCAGCUGAGCUCUCAGCUUUAGGAAGGAAGCACAUGGAAGGAGGAGGGAGGGGAGCCUGGGCCAUUCUUGUGUGGCGGGUCACAUGCACGUGUUGUCCCAGCACCACCCUGUGCCUCCCUGUGGCUGACAUUUCAUUCUGCACAGUCCCAAGUCCCAGCUCCCCGCCCACGGCUUGUGGCAAACGUGCCUGAUCUGGCUGACUUCAGACAUUCCGAAAUGGCACAUGCAGAUUUCUCAUGGGAAUGAGUAUGUACAUGUUUGCAGUCAUGUUGUGAGAAGUUAAAUGUGUGAGCUGGAAAAUGCUAUUGGCAGGGAAUAAUAAAAACGAAAAUCUUUCUGUUUCCUGCAGUGGGAACUGACCGUGUAGUCUUAACAGCCUUUUGUACAAAUAUCUAUGAACCAGAUAACUUCCCUAUCCAGUGCUUGCCCUUGGAAUUGUCUCUAAAUACAUCAAGCAUACAAUAAAAAAAAA